rnacentral:rRNA from 1 species
CCUACGGGAGGCAGCAGUGAGGAAUAUUGGUCAAUGGGCGGGAGCCUGAACCAGCCAAGUCGCGUGAGGGAAGACGGUCCUAUGGAUUGUAAACCUCUUUAGGCGGGGAGCAAAGCCGGGCACGCGUGCCCGGAGGGAGAGGACCCGCAGAAGAAGCAGCGGCUAACCCCGUGCCAGCAGCCGCGGUAAUACGGAGGAUGCGUGCGUUAGCAGGAUUGAUGGGGUUGAAAGGGUGCGGAGGCGGAUUUUUAAGUCAGCGGUAAAAUGUCCGGGCUCAACCCGGGCCGGCCGUUGAAACUGGGGAUCUUGCGUGGGCGAGAAGUAUGCGGAAUGCGUGGUGUAGCGGU